rnacentral:lncRNA from 1 species
GCAUUGUGUUGAAUUUGGUGACUGUUAUGUUGGAGUGUGGCGUGAAGAGACUUGGGGACAUUAAAUCACUGAGAGUUCUCAUGCAAGACGGACUCUGCCAUCACUUACUUACUGUAAAUGAGCAACUUUACGAAAACGAAUCUGUUGAUGUUUUUGGUCGCUCUUUGACAAAGUGCUUUCUUCAAAUUGUCAUCAUCUCAGACUACAGCUGGAGUGGUUCCUUAAUAAGCUAAUGCACACAAUACAAUUAGAUCAGUCAAGACUUCAAGCAGGCAGACUAGAGCUAACAUUAGAAUGUCUCAAUUCAAUUUUGUCACAUUCAUAAUUUUGUAUCAGAGUUAUAUGUUAAUUAUGAUUGCAGUACCUACUGUACUAACGUGUGCGAGAGACUGAGCAAACUACUUGCUAAGCAAGCAUUCCCCAGCUCUUAUCACACGAUAUCAUCAACCAACAUAAUUAGCAAUGGAAACACUACUGGCAAUGAUACUGGCAUUAGAAUCAACCAACACCACCACUACUGAUAGUGAUGAUACCAAUGAUGGUGAUACUAAUAGAAUGUGUACUAAGAUUAAUGGAGGGAAAGUUGCAGGUGACUGUAAUAAAGGAGUAAGUGUGAAUUCAUCUGCUGGGAUCAUAUUCUCAUCAGAUAAGCAGCAGCAACCAGAUAUCAGUCUGAAUGGAGCAGAGAAGGUGGGUGGAGCUAUAUCAGAACGUAAUAUGGCGUUUUGGCCUUUCGUCACUUUAUUUAACCAUUUUUAAGGGUAAUUUGAAUCAUAAUUGAUCUAAUUUUACAUUUUUUGUGUUCCAUUUGUAGGUACCAUCAA